rnacentral:tRNA from 1 species
GGGCUGGGCUCAGUGGUACAGCACCUGCCUCGUACGUGUGAGGCCCUGGGUUCGAGCCUCAGCACCACA